UCAGUUGAUCUGCUUCAUCGCACACGUGAUUUGUUUUUCUUGCGAAACCCAAUAACCCGUUUCCUUAUCCCUUUAUCCAGAACCUAUACCUCUACCUGUAUUCCUGCCUCCACAAUGUCAGGAGAGAAGCUUUUGAUACCUAGGCACUCACAACAACAGAGUCUAGGAAAUAAAAGAUCAUUUUCUGCUGAAACAGCAAAUGUAAACAUCCAUGACAUGAUGAUGUCACUCUCCCUCCAAACGAGCCGUUCCAAAUUUUAAGUGCUCUUGGGCAGAACAUUGAAAUCAACAACAAUUUUUCCUUGGCCACAUACAUGAGUUUGAGAAAGAUCUCAUCAAAAUGGCAGCGAAACAGGAUAAAUGUGGAGAAGAAAAAGCAGCCUUUGUGCCAAAUCAUAAAUUUCUAACACUAUAAAAAACAGGUUUGAGAGGGCAGAGGAGCUGAAGGAGAAGAUUCUAAGGGAGUACAAAGAAGAAUACACAAACUACCUGGAAGAAAAAAUCAGUGAGGAGGAGCAAGGAAACAGAAUUGUGUGUCAAGUACAUUGUCUUUUCCUAGUAGUUUUGUGCUGUUUCAGUGGAUUGUGUGAUUCUAGGAAAGAGCUCCACAUGCAUUUUGUGCUCCUGUGCGCAUGCACACGUGUACACACACACACACACACACACACACACACACACACACACACACACACACAAUCGAGUACGGUAAUAAGAAAACUGAGACCAAACAUUACUGAAGACUGAUAGACGUACAGGAACUGAAAAAGCAGGAAAUAGUGGGUUUCCACCAAACUAGAGGUACAGAACCUAGGCUAAGCUGUCAGACCUGAACAGAACUAUACUUGAUUCAUAUCUAUACUAACAAGACUUUUCUUCCAAGAAUUGAAGUAUUGACCCAAAUCCUUUUGCCUUCCUGCAGAAGAAUAAAGAAGAGAAAAUAGACCAGAAGAAAGCCUUCUGGGAAGACAUAAGAGAAAUCCUGUGUAUGGCAGGAUUUUCUAAAUGGGCUUCCUUUCCUUUUGCACAACUCUAUGGUGAAAGAAACAAAGGUAAGGAGGUGGGCCAUGGAGCAACAUUACCAAAAAGAACCUUCAGCCCACCAGUAGAGUCUUUACAAAAGGAAUCAUGUGAUGAAGUAACCCCAUGAAAAUCAGCAUCUGCCAAGGAGGCUGCAAAAACAUUCAUCGAGGGAAGGCUGGGUGAGUCACCACAGGUUUCUGACUUGGACAACCUGGUAUAGACGUGCUUCCACUGCAUCUGGGUCAACCACACAGGAGUAACACUGAAGCUCAAAAGUAAGGCAAGGUAGAGUUGUCUGAAGUCUGGAGCACUGAUCCCAACAGAGAACACUGGAUCAUCUGCCAUGUCCUCAGACUUCUGUUUCCAUGAAUCCAUUUACUCUCCUAUGAUAAGAACCUCCUGUGAUGAAUGGUGUCUUUUUUUUUAACUGCCUUGCUGUUGUCUUGUGCAGAAAUCAAUAUUUCUGGAUGUGUCUGUAAUUCGAUUGUAAAGAAAUUUCUGAGCUUGCCCUGAAGUUCUAAGGCCACAAAGGGACUUCCUCAUCCAUACAACAUAACAUGACUACAGACAGACUGUGGUGGUCUGGACUCUGUGUAUAUAUUUGUCCUGUCUGCAACACGUUAAUACUUGAUGGGGUUUCUCACAACCUCACAGCUCCUGGUAAAAUGUCCCACACUUUCUUCAAGGUGGAUGCUACGGGAUAUUAGGUGUUUGGCUCAAUCUAUGUCUGGAAGUCACAAACCUUGUAAGACAUGUGUGUCAGGUUAAGUUUAAGGCAACACUCAGAAGUACACAGGACAACACAAGUCCAGACCUUGAGUCCAGAGGCAAAAAUCUAGAGAUAGGAACUAAGAACAAAGAAGACAUGUCUGUACCAGGGGAGACACAGCAAAAGUUUUCCAUUUCUCUGGCUGUUUAGCUUACAGGACUCACCUGAGUUAGGAGAGUACUUUGUCCAAUGAGUCUGUGUACACACAGAGAAAUUUUACAAUCAGCUCAUAGUUACAUCAUGAGAUAUUGCUUGAUCUACUCUAGCUGACAAUAAAAAUCCAUGGCCACAUCUUCCAGACACCAGGAUCCAAAGCUUGGAGAAAAAAAUACCUACUAAUUAUUGGAAGGGGCUGAAGGAGAGCAUCUCAAAGGCUUUGCAUUUCUCUCCCAGGUUACCAGGCUGAGUUCUGUCUCAGGGAUAACAGACCUUGUUACCUCAGAUUUUUCUCUCUUUUGGACUUCAGUUAAGAAUAGGAGAGGCCUGCAUCAGCUGGUCCUCCCUCAGGAUUCAUGUGAGAAAUUCCUCACCUCAGCAAGGAAGAAAACUAAGAAAGGAAUCUAAACAUGUGGGGUGUUAUGUAGAUGCCUGGAAAAUAUAUAAACAUUUCUUAUCUGAGGCACUUUCCUCCCCCUUGCCUUUCUAUGAUUCUCAGGGAACAUAUCUAGGGUGUCUAUCCAUAUAUAUGAUACUAGAUUAGGAGCUAUGAGUGACAAAGCCAGGCACCUUAAAUUUGAUGACUUUGUAUGUGGUUGCUUCUCAGAAUUUUUUAAUUCAACAAUUUUGGUCAAUGAUAUAGUUAGAAAUUUUCAUUCCAGUUGGGGCUAGUGCCAGUAAUUCCAGUCACUGACAUAUUGAGCCUUCCUACAAGUUAAAAAUCAGACUCACAGUCAGAGUGCUAUAUUGUCUUAAAGAGAAGAAGGCAGACCGAAAAUCAGAGAGGCAGACAGCAAGACAUAAGGCAAGAAAAAGACUUGUAAGUUGUAAAAAGAAAAGAAGGACUCAAUUGCUUUUGGGUCCUGGUCUGCUUUUGGGUCCUUACCUACUCUGGUAAGCCUUGGAAUAUAAAUUAUCUUAUAACCUCCAGACUCCUAAGAAGACUUGCAGGUUGAUGCAGGGAAGUGCAUAGGUUCAGAAGGUGUCAGGUUCUACUCAACAUCUGUUCCUUUAUACUGUACCUCAACAAAAGACAAGAGCACCCAAGGUCUUAAAACACCAAAGGGAGAAAAAGCACUGAGAUUCAUACCCUGGUGUGGGCUGGGGCUUCAUGAGUGUUUUGAGAGGGUCUAAGACCUCCAAGUAUUGUGAUGUUAUCUCUCGGCAGGUUGGACAAGAGUAUCAGGUGACCAACAUUGUCAGGAAGGAGACACACAUUACUGUUUUACUGAAAAUGAGGAGCUCUUUUUCAUCCAAGAAGAACUGGGCCUGCUUACAUUAGGGUGGAUCUAUGUAAGCAAGUAGACCUCAAUGUCCGAUGGUUUCUCUUGUCUGUCUCUUAGAACCAUCUUACAUAAAUCUUGCUCUUAACAGAGUCAAUCCAUUCCUGAUCAUCUCUGAACAUAGCCAAUAGUGUCCAGUUUGAGUCAAAAGAGAAUUUCCUAGUACUUUACAGCUCUUUUUAUUUUACAUCUUACUUGAAGUAAUUCUUCAAAGUUCCAAUUCCAUGUGAGUCUGCUUGCCAAGAUGUAUGAGAAUAACAUAUACAGACCAUACGCCUAAAAGUUGUAGAAAUGAAACUUAAAUAAUCAAGGGUGUCCUAUCUGAUGAGUGUGUUUUUUUAUUUAUGAAGAAGUACUUUGUUUCUGCAUACCUGAAAGCUUCUACAUGCAAGGUAUUCAAGUGGUUGCACCUGCCCAGCACACUUCUGUUGAUUAUCAAGGGAACACAGCAACUGGCCUAGGCCUUCCUUCAAAUGUCUCUCUUAUUUUUAUUUAUUUAUUAUAUAGCUUUCUUCAGAC
ensembl:lncRNA LOC102552287 uncharacterized LOC102552287